GCGAGCGGCGGAUGGGUGAGUAACACGUGGGGAACCUGCCCCUAAGUCUGGGAUACCAUUUGGAAACAGGUGCUAAUACCGGAUAAUAAAGCAGAUCGCAUGAUCAGCUUUUGAAAGGCGGCGUAAGCUGUCGCUAAGGGAUGGUCCCGCGGUGCAUUAGCUAGUUGGUAAGGUAACGGCUUACCAAGGCGACGAUGCAUAGCCGAGUUGAGAGACUGAUCGGCCACAUUGGGACUGAGACACGGCCCAAACUCCUACGGGAGGCAGCAGUAGGGAAUCUUCCACAAUGGACGCAAGUCUGAUGGAGCAACGCCGCGUGAGUGAAGAAGGUUUUCGGAUCGUAAAGCUCUGUUGUUGGUGAAGAAGGAUAGAGGUAGUAACUGGCCUUUAUUUGACGGUAAUCAACCAGAAAGUCACGGCUAACUACGUGCCAGCAGCCGCGGUAAUACGUAGGUGGCAAGCGUUGUCCGGAUUUAUUGGGCGUAAAGCAAGCGCAGGCGGAAAAAUAAGUCUAAUGUGAAAGCCCUCGGCUUAACCGAGGAACUGCAUCGGAAACUGUUUUUCUUGAGUGCAGAAGAGGAGAGUGGAACUCCAUGUGUAGCGGUGGAAUGCGUAGAUAUAUGGAAGAACACCAGUGGCGAAGGCGGCUCUCUGGUCUGCAACUGACGCUGAGGCUCGAAAAGCAUGGGUAGCGAACAGG
rnacentral:rRNA from 1 species